rnacentral:misc_RNA from 1 species
ACCAGUGGAACAGAGUGGCUGGCCGGACACACAAGCACUGGCUACAACUUUACUCAGAUAGUAGGUCUACAUGCUUCCCAGUGAUGGAACUAUGUGACUCUGUGGCUCAUGCUGUGUGACGUGUCAGGUGACUGUGGCACAGGCACAUCACAGCUUCCUGUCAAUCGGAGUUUACUGAGAGGUUCGGGUGCUUGUGACUGCUAGGGCUGAGUGUGGACAGCUAGUUGGCAGGCUGACCUGCAACGAUUUCAGGUUCAGAAAACACACAUAACCAACAAAGUCGACAGUUUAUGAGAACUGCAGUGGAAGUGAUUGUAACUCAACAAGGCAAGAUAUAGUCUGUGAGGCUGGGACUAACAGACAGAAGAGGGCCAAGGAAAAUGGCCGAUAUCUGAACUACAAAGUUUGGAACUUUUCUGAACAACGGAUUAUCAGCAUUUUUCUUGAGUGUGGAAGCGGAGGUGAUUCAGGAUUGAGGAUUAACUCUCAAAUUACAGUUUUGGAAGUUGUGAUCAAGUUUACCCAAAGUUGUGUCAAUCUGUUUUGGAUAGAUCUGAUACCCAUCACAGUCCUGGUUGGCCUCCAGGACCAAGGAUUCCAAGUUAUACUGAACCUAUACAUCAUACAAAGGUUUCCAAGAUGUCUGCGUGGUCACUUCCAGUAGACAGGCACAACUUCCUGCAGACAGUACAACAUAUCCUCUACAUCUGUGUAACUCUUCUUUUCUCAGAAGGGGUGAUGGCCCAACAGAGGUUUAUCAUUGAACCCCAAGACACGAGUGCGAUUGAAGGAAGCACGGCAAUACUGAAGUGUAAAGUGGCCAACAUGGUGGGUGGCCUUCAGUGGACAAGGGACAGCUUUGCUCUCGGGAUGGAGAGAAAUCUACCAGGAUUCCCUCGGUAUCAGAUGAUUGGCGGACAAACACCAGUGGGGUCGGAGACUAUUGGUGAGCACAACCUGAAGAUAACGGAAGUCCACCUGGAGGAUGAUGCUGAGUACCAGUGCCAAGUCGGCGCCACAGAGAAUGUCCAGGGGAUACGCAGUCGUACAGCAAAACUAAACGUGUUGUUACCUCCUGACAGGCCCCAGAUAGAGAAUGGGUUGAGGGUUGCAGUGGUCGUUGGGCGCCUGGCCAAUAUCUCAUGUCGUGCCAACAACGGCAAACCUUCUGCAACCAUCACCUGGCACAUGGAUGGGCAGCGUUUGACGGAGAUGAUCUAUUCCAGAAGCAUUCCAAAAGUAAAUGAUAAGCGGGUAGAUUCUGUAGGAAUUAUCACCAUCAAUGCUACCAAGGAUGAUGAAGGCAGACGGAUAGAGUGCAGAGCUGAAAAUGAGGCUAUGGUGUCACCCUUUUCAACUUUUGCGACACUGGAUGUGCAGUAUCCACCAUACAUCACAAUGAUGACCAACCUGUCUCGCACAAUACGAGAGUAUGACUACCUCCGUAUUUUCUGCAGGGUUGAAGCAGCCAAUCCAAGGGGUAUUACUUGGAGGUGGCUGAGGAAUGGUCGUAUCCUCCACGGGGAGACGCGCGAUGUCCUCGACAUUCCCUCCAUUUCCCGAGCCUACCACCAAAACACCAUCACCUGUGAAGGUAGCAACCCUGUGGGUGGCACCAGGAGGAACAUGGAGCUCAAUGUGGAAUUCGGACCGUUGUUUGUUGGUGAUCCUGAACAUACAGCCGUCAACCUGAACCAGCCAGCCACCCUAAGGUGUGAAGCCACUGGCAAUCCCCUGCCCAGUAUUAUUUGGACAAAGAAAGGGUCUCGCCAUCCACAGGGCAGUUCUUCGGUGCUUAGGAUCCCCAAGGUGGGGGAGGGAAACCUGGGUGUGUAUGUCUGCACAGCCACUGUCCUGGGCUUCAACUCCAUCAGCAGGGAGAUAUACCUCCUACAAAAUGCUCCUCCAACUAUAAUGAGUGAGGUGAAGCAAUAUGCUAUAACAGGAGAGAAUGCGGAAGUGGAAUGUAUGGCCAUGUCAGUCCCCAAGCCAGACAAGAUCAUCUGGAUGAGGGACGGUAUUCCUAUCAACUAUGCCACCUCUGGCAGGUUCUCAGCUGUGGAGGAGGAUUUGCCAUAUGGAAGAAAAAGCACUCUUCAGAUUAUAAAUGUUAAUGAAGAAGAUUUUGGUGAUUACAACUGCAGCGUUAUCAACAACUAUGGCAAGGAUGUGGCAGUCAUACACUUGAUAGAAAAAGCUGUUCCACCCCUGCCAAUCAUCAUCGGUGGUGCUGUUGGAGGUGUGGCAGUGCUGUUCAUCAUCAUUCUGGCAUGUGUGUUAUACCAUCGCUACAAGAGUGCUGAGACUGGCAGCGUAUUGGGUUCAUACACCGACACAGAUAGCAGCACAGACAAGAAGCGGGAGAAGUCUGACUCCCCAUCCACUCUGAUGGACCAAUGGAGGCAGGACUACAACAAGGACCUCAACAGAUACUCAGCUGACUAUGAUGAGGUGCUUUAUGCGGGAAAGGAUCCAAAGGGGAACAACAACCAGUACCGAGUCAUAGAUCCUUUCUCGAAUGAAAGCGUGUAUCGGGACACAAGUCAGAUAUUUGGUGGAGAAUAUACAAGUCAGUCAGAUGACAUAGGGUCAGACAGAUAUGGACCAGCAUAUAGUGGACAGUACCCACUGAGUAGUUUCCGUGGUGAUUAUGCAGACUCAAGGCUACCUCCCGCCUGUUUAAGUACGACCAAACUGGCAACAAAUGUGUAGAUGUGUGCACCGGGACUCUACCAUCAGUGGGAGGAACAUGUUCACUCUUUACACACCAACCAUGGUAAAACAAACUAUCAUUGCCAUACUUGGUGGCAACAUUUUAUACAACUUUGUAUGGAUCAUGCAUCAAUAUGGAAUCUAAUUCCAUACCAUUCUAUCAGCAGCAUUGUAAACAUGUACAGGCAUCUGUCCAGGAAUGGAUGCUGGAUAAACUGGAAGCUUUCCAUGAAUCUAUUGCACAAUUAGAAGAGUUGAACACAGUUUAGCGAGGACAGUGAGCACCAUUUAUCUGUCUGCUGCCUGUUGUAGCAGUCUCGAAGCACAGCAUCUGCAUCAUAGGCACCACCACUCUUAAUGCACUAGUCAUGUAUAUACAGCUUGCCUUUAUCAUUCGGGGAAAAUUGAUACAAAAAUUAUUCCAAGAUCAAUGCAAAGACAAUGAGCCUUAUUAGCCUUGCCAUGAUAUGUGUACAAGAACAUGAGCUGGAAGCACUGGAGGAGAGCUCGUGCACAGCUGCUGUACCAAGUCGGUGAGGAGGAUGUUCAAGCAAAGGAAGACAGUUUGUGUUAAAGUGCACCUACUCUCUCUGUGGAUAUCGGAAUAGAAUCUUCUUGGUGCUGUUAAGUUGCAAUUGAUAUAGUGUUGAGCUGCCCCUGAGUGUGGGACAGAGGGAGUAGGUGGAGCAUUUCUUGUGCAAGCCAAAGGAGGAAGACACAGGAAGGAAAUAAAGUGACAUGAUUUCUUCCAAACAAUGUCCACAAUAGUCAGUGAAAGCCCAGAGGCUGGACAUAUGCGUGAUAGUUGGCAGUGCUCCUGUCCAGGAAGUUCAGCCUGUAAAGAUGGUUGUGUUGAAUGAACAAGUUUUGUGGGAAAAAACCUGUUUCUGUGAAUGAAAGCUGAUGUAAAUACAUGAGGUACAUGAUACUGGCCACACUGAGUCCUGUCCUGUUCACAUCACAGUGUAAUGUAAUAAUACGUGUUGGCCAGUGUGUACCAAGUACAGCUUGAUGCCAAGACCUGCCACAGUACUGUGUAGCCUGAAGAGAACAUCAGGUACAGAUGUUCAUGCAGUCUGGAGGACAUCAGGUACAGAUGUUCAUGCAGUCUGGAGGACAUCAGGGACAGAUGUUCAUGCAGUCUGGAGGACAUCAGGUACAGAUGUUCAUGCUGUCUGGAGGACAUCAGGUACAGAUGUUCAUGCAGUCUGGAGGACAUCAGGUACAGAUGUUCAUGCAGUCUGGAGGACAUCAGGUACAGAUGUUCAUGCAGUCUGGAGGACAUCAGGUACAGAUGUUCAUGCAGUCUGGAGGACAUCAGGUACAGAUGUUCAUGCAGUCUGGAGGACAUCAGGUACAGAUGUUCAUGCAGUCUGGAUGACAUCAGGUACAGAUGUUCAUGCAGUCUGGAGGACAUCAGGUACAGAUGUUCAUGCAAUCUGGAGGACAUCGGGUACAGAUGUUCAUGCAGUCUGGAGGACAUGUGGUAAAGCAUGAUGUGUUCUGACUUCAGAUAUACCUGGAGCCAUUCUGAGCAUGACAUGUUCUUGUAUAAAUGAAUAGGAACCCAAUUGUUUGUGUGAGGAGUCUAGCAGUACAUGCCAUGAGUAUAUAACUGUUUAUGAACUAUAGCAAUAUUGUCAGAAUGGGGAUGACCAAGUGAGGUGUUGAAGUGUCCAAGUUCAGAAAGCAGGAGACAACAGGGCUUGGCCCAAAUAAACAUUGGCUGUCAUAACAUAAUCCAUGCAUCCAGCUGUGCAAAGGAUGUCACUCCAGACCCUGACAAUGAUGUCACACUUUCAAUGCCCAAAUGAUUCUUAAAACUACAUUUGCAUAUUGGUUUAUUCAGUAAGUCUCCUUGUUAAAAGAACAUGUUGUAACACUCAUACCUGCAGUUUCAGAGAAAAUAAAUAUUGUCAUAUAUACAUCUGUCUCACUGCAGGAAUGUUCCUGUGUCUAGUCCAUGUUCAUCUGUCUCCCUUCAGGAAUGUUCCUGUGUCUAGUCUAGCCCAUGUACAUCUGUCUCACUGCAGGAAUGUUCCUGUGUCUAGUCCAUGUACAUCAGUCUCACUUCAGGAAUGUUCCUGUGUCUAGUCCAUGUACAUUGGUCUCUCUGCAGGAAUGUUCCUGUGUCUAGCCCAUGUACAUCAGUCUCACUUCAGAAAUGUUCCUGUGUCUAGUCCAUGUACAUCAGUCUCACUUCAGGAAUGUUCCUGUGUCUAGCCCAUGUACAUCGGUCUCUCUGCAGGAAUGUUCCUGUGUCUAGUCUAGCCCAUGUACAUCUGUCUCACUUCAGGAAUGUUCCUGUGUCUAGCCCAUGUACAUCUGUCUCACUUCAGAAAUGUUCCUGUGUCUAGUCCAUCUACAUCUGUCUCACUUCAGAAAUGUUCCUGUGUCUAGCCCAUGUACAUCUGUCUCACUUCAGAAAUGUUCCUGUGUCUAGCCCAUGUACAUCGGUCUCUCUGCAGGAAUGUUCCUGUGUCUAGUCUAGCCCAUGUACAUCUGUCUCACUUCAGGAAUGUUCCUGUGUCUAGCCCAUGUACAUCUGUCUCACUUCAGGAAUGUUCCUGUGUCUAGCCCAUGUACAUCUGUCUCACUUCAGGAAUGUUCCUGUGUCUAGCCCAUGUACAUCUGUCUCACGUCAGGAAUGUUCCUGUGUCUAGUCCAUCUACAUCUGUCUCACUUCAGGAAUGUUCCUGUGUCUAGCCCAUGUACAUCUGUCUCUCUGCAGGAAUGUUCCUGUGUCUAGUCUAGCCCAUGUACAUCUGUCUCACUUCAGGAAUGUUCCUGUGUCUAGCCCAUGUACAUCUGUCUCACUUCAGAAAUGUUCCUGUGUCUAGUCCAUCUACAUCAGUCUCACUUCAGGAAUGUUCCUUUGUCUAGCCCAUGUACAUCGGUCUCACUUCAGAAAUGUUCCUGUGUCUAGUCCAUCUACAUCUGUCUCACUUCAGGAAUGUUCCUGUGUCUAGCCCAUGUACAUCUGUCUCACUUCAGGAAUGUUCCUGUGUCUAGCCCAUGUACAUCUGUCUCACUUCAGGAAUGUUCCUGUGUCUAGCCCAUGUACAUCUGUCUCACGUCAGGAAUGUUCCUGUGUCGAGCCCAUGUACAUCGGUCUCUCUGCAGGAAUGUUCCUGUGUCAGGCCCAUGUACAUCGGUCUCUCUGCAGGAAUGUUCCUGUGUCUAGUCCAUCUACAUCUGUCUCACUUCAGGAAUGUUCCUGUGUCUAGCCCAUGUACAUCUGUCUCACUUCAGGAAUGUUCCUGUGUCUAGCCGAUGUACAUCGGUCUCUCUGCAGGAAUGUUCCUGUGUCUAGUCUAACCCAUGUACAUCUGUCUCACUUCAGGAAUGUUCCUGUGUCUAGCCCAUGUACAUCGGUCUCACUGCAGGAAUGUUCCUGUGUCUAGCCCAUGUACAUCGGUCUCACUUCAGGAAUGUUCCUGUGUCUAGCCCAUGUACAUCUGUCUCACUUCAGGAAUGUUCCUGUGUCUAGCCCAUGUACAUCUGUCUCACUUCAGGAAUGUUCCUGUGUCUAGCCCAUGUACAUCUGUCUCACGUCAGGAAUGUUCCUGUGUCGAGCCCAUGUACAUCGGUCUCUCUGCAGGAAUGUUCCUGUGUCAGGCCCAUGUACAUCGGUCUCUCUGCAGGAAUGUUCCUGUGUCUAGUCCAUCUCCAUCUGUCUCACUUCAGGAAUGUUCCUGUGUCUAGCCCAUGUACAUCUGUCUCACUUCAGGAAUGUUCCUGUGUCUAGCCGAUGUACAUCGGUCUCUCUGCAGGAAUGUUCCUGUGUCUAGUCUAACCCAUGUACAUCUGUCUCACUUCAGGAAUGUUCCUGUGUCUAGCCCAUGUACAUCUGUCUCACUGCAGGAAUGUUCCUGUGUCUAGCCCAUGUACAUCGGUCUCUCUGCAGGAAUGUUCCUGUGUCUAGUCCAUCUACAUCUGUCUCACUGCAGGAAUGUUCCUGUGUCUAGUCCAUUACAUCGGUCUCACUAUAGGACGGUCCUGUGUCUAGUCAAGUCCAUUACAUUGGUCUCACUGCAGGAAUGUUCCUGUGUCUAGCCCAUGUACAUCUGUCUCACUGCAGGAAUGUUCUUGUGUCUAGCCCAUGUACAUCUGUCUCACUGCAGGAAUGUUCUUGUGUCUAGCCCAUGUACAUCGGUCCCUCUGCAGGAAUGUUCCUGUGUCAAGUCCAUUACAUCGGUCUCACUACAGGACGUUCCUGUGUCUAGUCGAGCCCAUGUACAUCUGUCUCACUGCAGGAAUGUUCCUGUGUCAAGUCCUUUACAUCGGUCUCACUACAGGACGUUCCUGUGUCUAGUCGAGCCCAUGUACAUCUGUCUCACUGCAGGAAUGUUCCUGUGUCUAGCCCAUGUACAUCGGUCUCUCUGCAGGAAUGUUCCUGUGUCAAGUCCAUUACAUCGGUCUCACUAUAGAACGGUCCUGUGUCUAGUCAAGUCCAUUACAUUGGUCUCACUGCAGGAAUGUUCUUGUGUCUAGCCCAUGUACAUCAGUCUCUCUGCAGGAAUGUUCCUGUGUCAAGUCCAUUACAUCGGUCUCACUAUAGAACGGUCCUGUGUCUAGUCAAGUCCAUUUCAUUGGUCUCACUGCAGGAAUGUUCUUGUGUCUGCACAUGUACAUCAGUCUCUCUGCAGGAAUGUUCCUGUGUCAAGUCCAUUACAUCGGUCUCACUACAGGACGUUCCUGUGUCUAGUCGAGCCCAUGUACAUCUGUCUCACUUCAGGAAUGUUCCUGUGUCAAGUCCAUUACAUCGGUCUCACUUCAGGAAUGUUCUUGUGUCUAGCCCAUGUAUAUCAGUCUCUCUGCAGGAAUGUUCAUGUGUCAAGUCCAUUACAUCGGUCUCACUACAGGGCGUUCCUGUGUCUAGUCGAGGCCCAUGUACAUCUGUCUCACUUCAGGAAUGUUCCUGUGUCAAGUCCAUUACAUCGGUCUCACUACAGGACGUUCCUGUGUCUAGUCGAGGCCCAUGUACAUCUGUCUCACUUCAGGAAUGUUCCUGUGUCUAGCCCAUGUACAUCUGUCUCACUUCAGGAAUGUUCCUGUGUCAAGUCCAUUACAUCGGUCUCACUACAGGACGUUCCUGUGUCUAGUCCAGGCCCAUGUACAUCUGUUUCACUUCAGGAAUGUUCCUGUGUCAAGUCCAUGUACAUCGGUCUCACUUCAGGAAUGUUCCUGUGUCUAGCCCAUGUACAUCGGUCUCUCUGCAGGAAUGUUCCUGUGUCUAGUCGAGGCCCAUGUACAUCGGUCUCACUGCAGGAAUGUUCCUGUGUCGAGCCCAUGUACAUCGGUCUCACUGCAGGAAUGUUCCUGUGUCUAGCCCAUGUACAUCGGUCUCACUGCAGGAAUGUUCCUGUGUCUAGUCCAUGUACAUCAGUCUCACUGCAGAAAUGUUCCUGUGUCUAGCCCAUGUACAUCAGUCUCACUGCAUGAAAGUUCUUGUAUCUGGUCCAUGCACAUCUCCCUCACUAUAGGCAUGUUCCUGUGUCUGGUCCAUGUACAUCUCUCUCGCCCAGUUAAGUAUGUCUCUGUUUUCAUUCUGAUGGGGUUUGAUAAGGAUGUGAAACAUUGUGUAUGUAAUAUUUAUUAUCAGUGUAAAUAUGUAAACAUGUAGACUAUAGGGAAUGGUCUAUGAGGUGAGUACGUUGUUCCCCUGUUCAAUACCUGUGUGUGUCUGGCCCUGCAAGUAUAACUCACUCUUGUAGCUCUGUUACACCUUAGUUUUGUAUCAUGCUUGGACUGCACUAUUGUUGCUUGUUCAACACCAUGAUUAUACAUUCAACAUGCUAAUUUGUUUUUCAUGUUUUUGUUUUUAUUGACUUUCUGAUAUAUUAAGGAGUUGUUUGUUUCUUUCACUGGCGAUCAAUAUACAUUGCUUUGUAUAGUUUGUGUUACUUUGUGUUUCACUCGGUAUUUUGUGUCUCCUGGGGAUUUGGUGUGACCUGAAGUUCUAGGUGGGGAAUACAGUAAAUACUGUCAGUGAGUCUCUGGACAUGGGCUCCACCUCAGGUACAAGUAGACUCUAUGUUUAUGUCCUGGUUAGACCCUACUCUCGGACAUUUCUAGGUUUGUGUGUGAUGUAUCCUUCGUUACUGACUAUCACUGAUUGGUGAAGUAUGUUUAUUUGCUGCUCUCAAAAUGUAUGCAAGACUGUGUGCAUCUGGUUUACUUCUAUUUGGGCCUUGUUUUAUCCUUCCUUCCAUAUAGUUGUUGGUCCCCUAGACCUCAAUCACCCACAUAGCCUAGGUGGACACAGGUCAAGGCAUCCUUUAAACUAUCAUUUAAACUAUGUGGAUUUGAAUGUGUCUCAUAGUUACACCCCUACAUAGAGAUCUGUGUCAGUCAGGCUGUAGACACAUAGAGAAGCUCUGAUAAUUCCCAUGCCUCUUAGGUUAGCAGCAACUUGCUGUAUGUAGAAAACCUAUCUUUUUAGGGGGCACACAAAUGCCAUCAUUAUUGUAUCCAUCAUGAGACACUAGGACUAUCUUGACAUACACAACAAAUUUAGAUGGAACGCAAAAAAGAUCAGAUGAAACAUGUUUGGAAAUGUUUGUUGUUUCGGAGUCCUAUUUGACAUGUGAACAAACAAUGUGGUAUGUUUCUACCCAUGAAGAUGCUUUAUAGGUGUAAAAUGUAAAAAACAUAUAAGCACACUGCGCGCACACGCGCGCACACACACACACACACACACACACACACACACAUCCCAAUGGGCUCUGGCACAGCUACUUAAGCACAAGAAAUACUAACCAGCAUCACAUCAGAUAACAUACAAGAAAUAAUACCUACUUAACAGAUCAAAAGAACUUUAUCAAUACCAAAAUAACAUGACAGAUCACACACAGUAUCACACAUUUGAUCUAAUACCUUCAUAAAAAUAUCAUGAUGGAUUCACAAAAAUAUAAUAUCAGCUAAUCAUAUCAGAACAGAUCACAUACCCAAAACAACACCGAAACAACAUAUCACAGUCGUUCAGAAACCCGCAAGACAUUUCUAUAAAGGUUUCCUCAAUGGCUGAUCAAAUCACAGGUUACAUCUUGUAGUGAGAAGGUCAUUGGAUUUCGCCAAGGUCACAGAGAAGAUUAUUAGGUAAAUCCAGAUUAUUUUUGUAUGAAAUUCUAUGUCAUCAGUACCUUUCUGUACAGUAAUGUAUCAUUGAAAAUUAAUAUAUUGUUCAUUGUAUUUCUCUGAUAGCUUGUUUUAUUGUAGAUAUAUUGAAUGUGUGCUCUGACAGCGAUAAGUGAUGACAUGAAGUAUCCUGCGUACAUCGUCAUCUAAUCAUGUGCAAUUUGAUAAUGUAAUAAAUGAGAUUUUGUACAUAA